CACACAUGUUCAUCGACUGGUUUGUUUUAUAUGUUAGUCUGAGCCCAACGCUCUUCGGUCACAGGUGGAGAUUGAGGAACGCUUAUAAAAUCACCCAAGAAGUCGUUGUGUGGAAAACCAUGUACAUGAAACUCUCUCUCCUUUGUACCAGUCUCCUGUUUUUCGGAUACAUCGCUAUCCUGCGGUUUCAUAUGACCCACAGUAUCAACUUGCAACCUAUUUCAAGCAAUAUUUCGUCUUGGUUUUCUCUGCAUGCCACACCCGUUGAUACAAACGCUACGUACAAGAAGGAGAACUCAACUGACCAGAAAAGACAAAAGAAAUCUAAAGGAAAACAAAAGUAGGAUAUCAUAAUACUGAAGAAAAAGGCGAUUUAUAUUGAUACUGAGUGUAUUUUGUGAAAAAAAUGAUGUAAAAUUAAAAACUGAUAAAGUUAUUGGUAUUUGUUUAUACGUGUUGAAUGUGAUAAUAAAAAUGAAAAUAUGAAAA
rnacentral:lncRNA from 1 species